rnacentral:rRNA from 1 species
CGCUAUCACUCCUACGGGAGGCAGCAGUAGGGAAUCUUCCACAAUGGGCGCAAGCCUGAUGGAGCAACACCGCGUGAGUGAAGAAGGGUUUCGGCUCGUAAAGCUCUGUUGUUAAAGAAGAACACGUAUGAGAGUAACUGUUCAUACGUUGACGGUAUUUAACCAGAAAGUCACGGCUAACUACGUGCCAGCAGCCGCGGUAAUACGUAGGUGGCAAGCGUUAUCCGGAUUUAUUGGGCGUAAAGAGAGUGCAGGCGGUUUUCUAAGUCUGAUGUGAAAGCCUUCGGCUUAACCGGAGAAGUGCAUCGGAAACUGGAUAACUUGAGUGCAGAAGAGGGUAGUGGAACUCCAUGUGUAGCGGUGGAAUGCGUAGAUAUAUGGAAGAACACCAGUGGCGAAGGCGGCUACCUGGUCUGCAACUGACGCCGAGACUCGAAAGCAUGGGUAGCGAACAGGAUUAGAUACCCUGGUAG